rfam:Ciona savignyi cont_28723, whole genome shotgun sequence.
GGUCCUGUGGCCCAAUGGAUAAGGCGCCUGACUACGAAGCAGGAGAUUCCAGGUUCGAGUCCUGGCAGGAUCG